UACGUAGGGAGCAAGCGUUGUCCGGAAUCAUUGGGCGUAAAGCGCGCGUAGGUGGACACAUAAGUCCGUUGUGAAAGUCAAAGGCUCAACCUUUGAAAGCCGAUGGAUACUGUGUGGCUAGAGUACGGAAGAGGCGAGUGGAAUUCCUGGUGUAGCGGUGGAAUGCGCAGAUAUCAGGAGGAACACCAAUAGCGAAGGCAGCUCGCUGGGACGUUACUGACACUGAGGCGCGAAAGCGUGGGGAGCGAACAGG
rnacentral:rRNA from 1 species